GACGAACGCUGGCGGCGUGCUUAACACAUGCAAGUCGAACGAAGUGGCGAACGGGUGAGUAACGCGUACUCAACCUGCCCUUCAGCGGGGGACAACAGUUGGAAACGACUGCUAAUCCCGCAUACUGAAGGCGGGGCUUGCGUCUGAUUAGCUAGUUGGAGGGGUACAGGCCCACCAAGGCGAUGAUCAGUAGCCGGGCUGAGAGGAUGAACGGCGAAAUUGGGACUGAGACACGGCCCAGAAUCCUACGGGAGGCAGCAGUGGGGAAUGUUCCGCAAUGGACGAAAGUCGGACGGAGCAACGCCGCGUGAGUGAUGACGGCCUUCGGGUUGUAAAGCUCUGUUAAUCGGGACGCGGUACCGGAAUAGAAAGCCACGGCUAACUACGUGCCAGCCGCCGCGGUAUAC
rnacentral:rRNA from 1 species